rnacentral:rRNA from 1 species
CCAGCAGCCGCGGUAAUUCCAGCUCCAAUAGCGUAUACUAAUGUUGUUGCAGUUAAAAAGCUCGUAGUUGAAUUUCUGUUGGGGGCCGAUCGUGCGCUUUGAUUUCAAAGAUGUUCCACAGUGUCGGCCUUGGACAUUUUGACCAGAAGUAAAAUUUUGGUCUCAUUUACUGUAAAAAAAUUAGAGUGUUUCACGCAGAUCGUAAGAUCGGAAUAUAUUAGUAUGGAAUAAUAAGAUAGGACUUUGGUGCUAUUUUGUUGGUUUGCACACCAAGGUAAUGAUUAAUAGGGACAGUUGGGGGUAUUCGUAUUUAAUUGUCAGAGGUGAAAUUCUUGGAUUUAUGA